UACGUAGGGGGGCAAGCGUUGUCCGGAAUCAUUGGGCGUAAAGCGCGUGUAGGCGGUUCGGUAAGUCUGCUGUGAAAGUCCAGGGCUCAACCCUGGGGAUGCCGGUGGAUACUGUCGGGCUAGAGUACGGAAGAGGCGAGUGGAAUUACCGGUGUAGCGGUGAAAUGCGUAGAUAUCGGUAGGAACACCAGUGGCGAAGGCGGUCUCCUGGGGCAUUCUUGACGCUGAGGCGCGAAAGCUGGGGGAGCGAACGGG
rnacentral:rRNA from 1 species